AGCUCCAAUAGCGUAUAUUAAAGUUGUUGCAGUUAAAAAGCUCGUAGUUGGAUUUCAGUACGGGCCAGUUGGUCGGCCGCAAGGCCUGUUACUGGCUGGUCUGUUCUUCUUGUCAAAGACUGCGUGUGCUCUUCGUUGAGCGUGCGUAGGAUUUGGGACGUUUACUUUGAAAAAAUUAGAGUGUUCAAGGCAGGCUUUUCAGCUUGAAUACAUGAGCAUGGAAUAAUAGAAUAGGACCUGGUCUUAUUUUGUUGGUUUGUAUAAUUUCAGGUAAUGAUUAACAGGGACGGUUGGGGGCAUUUGUAUUCCGAGGCGAGAGGUGAAAUUCUUAGACCCUCGGAAGACAAACAGCUGCGAAAGCGUUUGCCAAGGACGUUUUCAUUGAUCAAGAACGAAAGUA
rnacentral:rRNA from 1 species